rnacentral:rRNA from 1 species
CUAGCCGUAAACGAUGGGUACUAGGUGUAGGUGGUUUCGAUACCAUCUGUGCCGGAGUUAACGCAAUAAGUACCCCGCCUGGGGAGUACGUGCGCAAGCAUGAAACUCAAAGGAAUUGACGGGGACCCGCACAAGCAGCGGAGCAUGUGGUUUAAUUCGAUGCAACGCGAAGAACCUUACCAGGGCUUGACAUGUGGGUGAAAGCUGUAGAGAUACAGCCCUCUCUUCGGAGACAUCCAUACAGGUGG